UUCUGGUUGAUCCCGCCGGAGGUCACUGCUAUUGGGAUUCGACUAAGCCAUGCGAGUCGAGAGGGUUCGGCCCUCGGCAGACGGCUCAGUAACACGUGGAUAAUCUGCCCUUAGGUGGAGGAUAACCUCGGGAAACUGAGAAUAAUACUCCAUAGAUCUAGGAUGCUGGAAUGUACUUAGAUUAAAAGUUCCGACGCCUAAGGAUGAGUCUGCGGACUAUCAGGUAGUAGUCAGGGUAAAGGCCUGACUAGCCUACGACGGAUACGGGUUGUGAGAGCAAUAACCCGGAGACGAUAUCUGAGACACGAUAUCAGGCCCUACGGGGCGCAGCAGGCGCGAAAACUUCACAAUGUGCGAAAGCACGAUGAGGGAAUCCCAAGUGCUUGCUCGUAAGAGUAAG
rnacentral:rRNA from 1 species